rnacentral:pre_miRNA from 1 species
CUUUCGUCCCAUUUUAAAUGUAAUUGUAGAUUUUUUUUAUUCGUCUUAUUUGAUUUUUUUUGUUAUUAAUAUUUUUGUUGUUAUUAGAUAAUAAAAUAUAAAUAAUACUUUAUAUGUGACUUAUUUUUUAAAAAUGUUUUUUAAUUUUUUUAAAUAAAACGGACAAUUAAACGUUGGACACGAAAACUCACAACU